rnacentral:lncRNA from 1 species
AUGACCCUCUCCAAAUGUCACGCACUCCACCUCUCCUCUAUUUAUUUUUGUCACACAAACCACCCAAAUAUCUUAUGCCCAAAACCUUUCUUAACACCCAAGAGAUCUAAUCUUUUUAUAUCAUAGGGGUUCAAAUCCAAAUUAAGGGAUAGAAGGGCUUUGAGAUAAGGUUGUAUUGUUAGAAAGAAAUCUCCUCUCA